UGUGGCAAGGAGUCAAGGUUUCUAAAGAAGGGGCUAAAAAUGCCUUUGUUCCCACUUUGAGCGAGUUGCCAUCAGAUCCCUGUGGGGGUGACGAGGCGUGGGGACAGAGCCAACAACUGCUAGCCACCAUGGCUGGGAGGGAGCCACGGGACAAUGGACUUCCUGCAGGAAGGCAAGACUUGAAGCAGGGGACCCAUGAGGAAACCACUGCGCUGGCCCAGGUGAGAGCUGAAGGGCCCCUGCCUGUGCUGGUAUGGAUGGAGACGGAGGAUUUGCAGCAAGAAGGUUCUUGCCAGAUGCCAGUACCUUGAUAUCGGAUUUCCCAGCCUCCAAGAACUGUAAGCUCUCCCUGUGUUGCCCAGGCUGGUCUCAAACUCCUGUGCUCAAGUGAUCCUCUUCCCUUCAGUGUCUGGAGUAGCUGGGAUUACAGGCGCACACUAUGGUAUGGACAUAAAUUUAUAAAGCUGUCCCCCAUCCCUUCUCUAUCAGGAAGGGAAGAAGUUAAUCACCAGAGGCAAUUCUAGACCCUUACCAGCCUGGAGACUAAACCAGAAGAAUCUAUAUAGCAAACCUUACUGACUAGCCCUUAUCUGCCAUUAGUUAACCCAUAUAUUUACCUUCCCACAAUUUGCUACCCUAGAAACUAAAAGCCCUUUUCCUUCAUCUUGUCACUUCUCUAAGUCUAAUCUUUGUUGAUUAAGAUGCUGUGUAAGCCCCUAUUCUAACCCCCACUUUGAAUUACUCAUCAUUCAUUGCUCAUGUGUAUAUGUUGAUACAUGUGUUAAUAAACUUCAGUUUAUUCUCCUCUUGUU